ACCCCCAGACUCUUGAUCCUUGGUCUAUUUAUAGGCCAAGGAUUAGGGUUCGGGGGUGCGUACCUGGAUCCUGGUCCUACACGUGUAGGGGUUUGAUCCCCUACACGUGUCCAGGUGUCGGCGUAGAAGUAGUCUUUUGGAAUGUUCCCUGGCUUGUCUCUAUCGCCAGUAGUUGACCGUUAUAUUUGUCUUCAUCGUGUCAGUCUGUGCCUUGUGCAGCAAGUGUCGGCUGGUACAGGUUUGGACCCCGGUCAAGGAGUAUGAUCCGGAUAUACGCCUGGUGUACCCGGGUCCUGUACCUUAUCCGGACGGCGUACUCUGGUAGGGUUGGUGGAUUGUACCCUACUCCUGGUGGCUUCCCGGGGAUCGGGGUCUUUGAGUAGGCCCGGGUUUGUGAACCCGGGUUACCCCUAUCAUUUGCCCCCCACUCCCUUAUAUAGAUUCUCUAUGUGAGGGAGUAGAGUGAAGUUUCCGCUUUUGUUUGAGUGGAUGAUCCGGAUAUACGCCUGGUGUACCCGGGUCCUGUACCUUAUCCGGACGGCGUACUCUGGUAGGGUUGGUGGAUUGUACCCUACUCCUGGUGGCUUCCCGGGGAUCGGGGUCUUUGAGUAGGCCCGGGUUUGUGAACCCGGGUUACCCCUAUCAUUUGCCCCCCACUCCCUUAUAUAGAUUCUCUAUGUGAGGGAGUAGAGUGAAGUUUCCGCUUUUGUUUGAGUGGGCCCGGGUAGAUGUGAAGUUUUGAUGUUUGCCCCCCUGUCCGGGUAGAUCCGGGUAAGGGUGGAGGUUUGUCGGUGUCGCUUUGCUCGGGUAGACCCGGGGGUUUGUUUUGCUUUUCUGCCAGGGAGAGUCCGGGUCCUUAGGGAGAUCCGUCCGGGUUGUCCCGUGAGAAUGAAGCGUUUUCGGUACGCUGGAAUUUCGAGGGGUUUUGUAACCGCAUCCAACGCUUUGGAAUUUGAAUCGUCGCGGCUUUUGAGGAGGCGUUUAAUUAUUACAGCAGUAAUAAUUAAAACUGAA
rnacentral:lncRNA from 1 species